rnacentral:rRNA from 1 species
AUACGGAGGGAGCUAGCGUUGUUCGGAAUUACUGGGCGUAAAGCGUGCGUAGGCGGACUAUUAAGUUGGGGGUGAAAUCCCAGGGCUCAACCCUGGAACUGCCCUCAAAACUGGUAGGCUUGAGAUUGAGAGAGGUAAGUGGAAUUCCGAGUGUAGAGGUGAAAUUCGUAGAUAUUCGGAGGAACACCAGAGGCGAAGGCGGCUUACUGGAUCAAUACUGACGCUGAGGCACGAAAGUGUGGGGAGCAAACAGGAUUAGAAACCCUAGUAGUCC